rnacentral:rRNA from 1 species
GAUGAACGCUGGCGGCGUGCCUAAUACAUGCAAGUCGAGCGAACGGACGGGAAGCUUGCUUCUCUGAUGUUAGCGGCGGACGGGUGAGUAACACGUGGAUAACCUACCUAUAAGACUGGGAUAACUUCGGGAAACCGUAGCUAAUACCGGAUAAUAUUUUGAACCGCAUGGUUCAAAAGUGAAAGACGGUCUUGCUGUCACUUAUAGAUGGAUCCGCGCUGCAUUAGCUAGUUGGUAAGGUAACGGCUUACCAAGGCAACGAUGCAUAGCCGACCUGAGAGGGUGAUCGGCCACACUGGAACUGAGACACGGUCCAGACUCCGACGGGAGGCAGCAGUAGGGAAUCUUCCGCAAUGGGCGAAAGCCUGACGGAGCAACGCCGCGUGAGUGAUGAAGGUCUUCGGAUCGUAAAACUCUGUUAUUAGGGAAGAACAUAUGUGUAAGUAACUGUGCACAUCUUGACGGUACCUAAUCAGAAAGCCACGGCUAACUACGUG